AGGAGGAACUACCACAGUGGCCGUGGCCAGCUCUGGAGCCCUGGUUUCAGCUCCCGCAGUAACUACAGAGCUCUCAGCCUGCAGAGGCCGGGAUGCUCCGCGGGCAG
rfam:Canis lupus familiaris chromosome 15, whole genome shotgun sequence.